rnacentral:rRNA from 1 species
GUACACUCCUGCGGGAGGCAGCAGUGGGGAAUUUUGGACAAUGGGCGAAAGCCUGAUCCAGCCAUGCCGCGUGCAGGAUGAAGGCCUUCGGGUUGUAAACUGCUUUUGUACGGAACGAAACGGCCUUUUCUAAUAAAGAGGGCUAAUGACGGUACCGUAAGAAUAAGCACCGGCUAACUACGUGCCAGCAGCCGCGGUAAUACGUAGGGUGCAAGCGUUAAUCGGAAUUACUGGGCGUAAAGCGUGCGCAGGCGGUUAUGUAAGACAGUUGUGAAAUCCCCGGGCUCAACCUGGGAACUGCAUCUGUGACUGCAUAGCUAGAGUACGGUAGAGGGGGAUGGAAUUCCGCGUGUAGCAGUGAAAUGCGUAGAUAUGCGGAGGAACACCGAUGGCGAAGGCAAUCCCCUGGACCUGUACUGACGCUCAUGCACGAAAGCGUGGGGAGCAAACAGGAUUAGAUACCCUAGUAGUCC